rnacentral:rRNA from 1 species
AGAGUUUGAUCCUGGCUCAGGAUGAACGCUAGCUACAGGCUUAACACAUGCAAGUCGAGGGGAAACGACAUCGAAAGCUUGCUUUUGAUGGGCGUCGACCGGCGCACGGGUGAGUAACGCGUAUCCAACCUGCCCACCACUUGGGGAUAACCUUGCGAAAGUAAGACUAAUACCCAAUGAUAUCUCUAGAAGACAUCUGAAAGAGAUUAAAGAUUUAUCGGUGAUGGAUGGGGAUGCGUCUGAUUAGCUUGUUGGCGGGGUAACGGCCCACCAAGGCAACGAUCAGUAGGGGUUCUGAGAGGAAGGUCCCCCACAUUGGAACUGAGACACGGUCCAAACUCCUACGGGAGGCAGCAGUGAGGAAUAUUGGUCAAUGGGCGAGAGCCUGAACCAGCCAAGUAGCGUGCAGGAUGACGGCCCUAUGGGUUGUAAACUGCUUUUAUAAGGGAAUAAAGUGAGUCUCGUGAGACUUUUUGCAUGUACCUUAUGAAUAAGGACCGGCUAAUUCCGUGCCAGCAGCCGCGGUAAUACGGAAGGUCCGGGCGUUAUCCGGAUUUAUUGGGUUUAAAGGGAGCGUAGGCCGGAGAUUAAGCGUGUUGUGAAAUGUAGACGCUCAACGUCUGCACUGCAGCGCGAACUGGUUUCCUUGAGUACGCACAAAGUGGGCGGAAUUCGUGGUGUAGCGGUGAAAUGCUUAGAUAUCACGAAGAACUCCGAUUGCGAAGGCAGCUCACUGGAGCGCAACUGACGCUGAAGCUCGAAAGUGCGGGUAUCGAACAGGAUUAGAUACCCUGGUAGUCCGCACGGUAAACGAUGGAUGCCCGCUGUUGGUCUGAAUAGGUCAGCGGCCAAGCGAAAGCAUUAAGCAUCCCACCUGGGGAGUACGCCGGCAACGGUGAAACUCAAAGGAAUUGACGGGGGCCCGCACAAGCGGAGGAACAUGUGGUUUAA